rfam:Danio rerio chromosome 4, GRCz11 reference primary assembly.
GCAUUGGUGGUUCAGUGGUGGAAUUCGUGCCUGCCACGCGGGAGACCUGGGUCCGAUUUACGGCCAAUGCA